UUGGAAAUGAUGUAUAAUCAAAAAUCUGAUUAAAGGUGAUGGUGUUUGUAUUCAUACUGUCUGAUCCAG